rnacentral:rRNA from 1 species
GAUGAACGCUAGCUACAGGCUUAACACAUGCAAGUCGAGGGGUAACGAGAGGAAAGCUUGCUUUCCUUGUCGACGACCGGCGCACGGGUGAGUAACGCGUAUCCAACCUGCCCCCAACUAGGGAAUAACCUUGCGAAAGUAAGACUAAUACCCUAUAAUUUCCUCAGAUGUCAUCUGACGAGGAAUAAAGAUUUAUCGGUUGUGGAUGGGGAUGCGUCUGAUUAGCUUGUCGGCGGGGUAACGGCCCACCAAGGCAACGAUCAGUAGGGGUUCUGAGGGGAAGGUCCCCCACAUUGGAGCUGAGACACGGUCCAAACUCCUACGGGAGGCAGCAGUGAGGAAUAUUGGUCAAUGGGCGGAAGCCUGAACCAGCCAAGUAGCGUGCAGGAUGACGGCCCUAUGGGUUGUAAACUGCUUUUAUACAGGAAUAAAGUUAGCCACGUGUGGUUAUUUGUAGGUACUGUAUGAAUAAGGACCGGCUAAUUCCGUGCCAGCCGCCGCAGUAA